rnacentral:rRNA from 1 species
ACAAUUAAUAAUAAUUAUUAACUUAGUUGUGAGGUCGUGUCAUUUCUUUGUGCUUUUUUUUUCUUUUCAACUCACCUUACUUGUUUUGAGUUUGGACGACGUCAAGACAACAGUAACUCACUCACACGUCCCGUAACAACUCGGAAAAUACAGUACAGUAGACACGGUAGACACACUCUUGAAAAGAAAAGAAAAACAAGGAAGACAAAAAAAGAUCCGAAGAAUCAAAGUCAAAGUCAAAGUGAAAAGAGUUGAGCAAAAACAACCCCCUUUUUUGAUUUGAUUUGAUUUGAUUUUGAGUCAAAUAAAUCGAACGUCAUCAUCAAGUCGAACGUCACGUCACGUCAACAACUUCCAAAUCAAAUCCCAAGUCAAAAACGUCGAAUAUUACAACACA